AGGAAUCCUAUAGUCCACACGUAACCCCACUCUAUCUCUCUCCUUUUUCAGUUUUGAACUCCAAAAGUUUUCCUUCGGUUUCUUCGCUUUGCAGUUGACGGUACCUUUCAUGGCAGACAUUGGUGGCAGAAGGCAAACAAAGCGGUCUGGAGAGGCGUUUGAGGCGCCGAGACGAGUGUGAAGGAUACUUUGACUGCUGCUACUAGGGCAGUAGUUCCAUUUCAUCAUACUGUGUGGUACAUGACGGAGGGGUAAGAAAUUUGGUUUUAGGUUAUGCUCACUGUGGAAUGGUUGUUGCUGCUUGUUGGAUUGCAAAGCUUUCUACUCCUUGUCUAAUAAAUGCACUUGGCAACUAUCCAUAUUACAAACUUAAGAAAUUGUUGUUGCAUGAAUAUUUCAAGUCGGUUGGUGAGGGUUUCAAGUCCGGUGUGUGCCUUAAUCUGGAGACCAAAAGGAUGUCCAUGAAGUGGCGGGACACCAAGAACAAGGUGGACUGUGGAGUGUAUGUUAUGGGAUUGCGAUCUAGUUAGGGAUGACAAAUGAGAACUUAAUCAGUUACGUUUACAUUAUAUGAAGGAGAUUUGCACAGUUAUAUAUGUAUGGCACACAACCUCCAGUCACAGAGACCUGUGUACGUGAUUUAUUCACAAUUGUUAACUCUAGGUACGACCACUCUACCAUUAAUCACACAACCUAAUCACAUUAUUCUCCUGUUCUCGUACGUAGAUAUAGCAACUCCAGGUUUUAUGCUUCCUUAUUACCUAAUGUUAACUAUAUUAAUUACAAUCCUUCCAAAAUUAAAAUAUCUCUCAAUUGUCUUC